rnacentral:rRNA from 1 species
GUGGGGGAUAUUGCACAAUGGGGGGAACCCGUGAUGCAGCGACGCCGCGUGGGUGAAGAAGCGCCUCGGCGCGUAAAGCCCUGUCAGCAGGGAAGAAAAUGACGGUACCUGAAGAAGAAGCCCCGGCUAACUACGUGCC